UACGUAGGUGGCGAGCGUUGUCCGGAUUUACUGGGCGUAAAGAGCGCGCAGGCGGUCGUAUAAGUCGAAUGUGAAAGCCCCCGGCUCAACUGGGGAGGGUCAUUCGAUACUGUUCGACUCGAAGGCAGGAGAGGGAAGUGGAAUUCCGGGUGUAGUGGUGAAAUGCGUAGAUAUCAGGAGGAACACCGGUGGCGAAGGCGGGUCUCUGGGCAACAACUGACGCUGAGGAGCGAAAGCGUGGGGAGCGAACAGG
rnacentral:rRNA from 1 species